rnacentral:rRNA from 1 species
UACGGAGGGUGCGAGCGUUGUCCGGAAUCAUUGGGCGUAAAGGGCGCGUAGGUGGCCACUUCAAGCGUGCGGUGAAAGUCGGGGGCUCAACCCCUGAUCGGCCGUGCGAACUGGGGGGCUGGAGCACUGUAGAGGCAGGCGGAAUUCCGGGUGUAGCGGUGGAAUGCGUAGAGAUCCGGAAGAACACCGGUGGUGAAGGCGGCCUGCUGGGCAGUUUGCUGACACUGAGGCGCGACAGCGUGGGGAGCAAACAGG